GAUGAACGCUGGCGGCGUGCCUAAUACAUGCAAGUCGAGCGAACGGACGAGAAGCUUGCUUUUCUGAUGUUAGCGGCGGACGGGUGAGUAACACGUGGAUAACCUACCUAAAAGACUGGGAUAACUUCGGGAAACCGGAGCUAAUACCGGAUAAUAUUUUGAACCGCAUGGUUGAAAAGUGAAAGACGGUCUUGCUGUCACUUAUAGAUGGAUCCGCGCUGCAUUAGCUAGUUGGUAAGGUAAAGGCUUACCAAGGCAACGAUGCAUAGCCGACCUGAGAGGGUGAUCGGCCCCACUGGAACUGAGACACGGUCCAGACUCCUACGGGAGGCAGCAGUAGGGAAUCUUCCGCAAUGGGCGCAAGCCUGACGGAGCAACGCCGCGUGAGUGAUGAAGGUCUUCGGAUCGUAAAACUCUGUUAUUAGGGAAGAACAUAUGUGUAAGUAACUGUGCACAUCUUGACGGUACCUAAUCAGAAAGCCACGGCUAACUACGUG
rnacentral:rRNA from 1 species